AUUUGCACAGUGGUUCAGGUCUUUUCUCUGUCCCGCCUGUCAAAAAGAUGCUAUUCCUGUGAUUAAAACCAUUACAGUCCUUCAAAGUUAUACAUGACUUUCAGGCUUCAGCCUCAAUAGCAGCAGGUGGAAACCAGAGGCAGUAAGGGCACAUACAUGGUUUUAUGUUUGGAAAGCGGUUUUUUGCUCGGUUCCAAGGCAGAUCAGCAUCAGUUGAAGAAAGAUCCUGAAGAAAUUUUGGUAGUUCCUGUGGAAUGAAGUCAUUGCAAAGUCACCAUGGCCAGGAAGUGGGUGGGGGAGCAGAGAGGAAGAGGGAGACCAAGAACCUACUAUAACUUAAUUAAGCCUGAGUACUAAAUCUUCAUUUGAGUUUUGUUCUUCGGGAAGAAAAAGUACAAUGUGAGAGAAUUCUUCUUCAGAUCCUUUGUGAAACAGUUCCAGGUCUGCCACAGUGAUGAGCUGAUCCAGUUUGAAUUUGGUGUCAAUAAUUUCUGCGUCUUGAGGAGAGUAUGUGCCACCUUCUUUCUGCUUCUGUCGAAUUCUAAAAUAAGAGUGGUAAAGUCCGAAAAGGAAAUACCAUAGAAAGCAUGUGAAAUUAAGUUUCAUUUUCUUUUUAAGUAAAGAUAUCCAUCCAGUAUUUUCCUUGUUGGGGUCAUGUCUCUGAAUAUGGUGCAGAUUUUUAGCUACUCAACUUCUAUCUCCUGUUUUAAUUUCAUAAAACCCAAUUCUACUAUAUUCCUUUAACAAGCUGCUUUGUUGUAGUUUCAAAUUCUAAUGAGAAUCCAUUGAUCAGCGCUUGGGCCACUGGCAAAUUUUAAACUACAGUGCAAAUGAAACUGAUGCUGUGAGCUUGUUUUUCCUCCCUCUAGCUGUCUCUAGAUUUGUCAUAAAGAGAAAGUAAGCCGAAGUGGAAACUGCUCACUGCUAUCAGCACCAGUGCUAAAAGACAAUGGCAUGUCUACAGUCAUGAAAAUGUACAGAAAUGUGUUUUGAAUUGUCCCAUUGGCUUUUUAUAAAGAUAUUGUGCAGCUUAUAAUGUUAUCUUUAUUUACAUUCAGAAAACUC